UACGUAGGGACCAAGCGUUGUUCGGAUUUACUGGGCGUAAAGGGCGCGUAGGCGGCAAUUCAAGUCAUCUGUGAAAUCUCCGGGCUUAACUCGGAACGGUCAGAUGAUACUGCUUUGCUAGAGUGCAGAAGGGGCAAUCGGAAUUCUUGGUGUAGCGGUGAAAUGCGUAGAUAUCGGGAGGAACACCAGUGGCGAAGGCGGCUUUCUGGCCCGUUCUUGACGCUGAGGCGCGAAAGCUAGGGUAGCAAACGGG
rnacentral:rRNA from 1 species